CUUGGUCAUUUAGAGGAAGUAAAAGUCGUAACAAGGUUUCCGUAGGUGAACCUGCGGAAGGAUCAUUAAUGAUUGCGAAUAGUUACCUUUGGUGCUGGCUCUUGCGAGCAAGUGCACGUUGGUGGCUUUCAUCCACUACUACCCUUGUGAACCUUUGGCCUCUUGCUAGCUUCGGCUGGCAGAGGAUUUUACACACACACUCGAAUGUAAUGAAAACGUUUGUCGUGCGCAAGCACUAAUGUACAACUUUCAACAACGGAUCUCUUGGCUCUCGCAUCGAUGAAGAACGCAGCGAAAUGCGAUAAGUAAUGUGAAUUGCAGAAUUCAGUGAAUCAUCGAAUCUUUGAACGCACCUUGCACCCUUUGGAAUUCCGAAGGGUAUGCUCGUUUGAGUGUCAUUGUACUCUCACACUCUCUGAUCCUUUGGAUUCGGGGAGCGGUGGACUUGGGUGUUUGCUGCUUUCCUUGUGGCUCACCUCAAAUGCGUCAGUGCACCUCUUGGUUGGACAUAGUACGGCGUGAUAAGUGUCUUCGCCGGCACCUCGCAAGAGGGUGGCCGAUCGAGAGCUCUGUGCUUUCAAACCGUCUUCGGACACUCUCUGACAACUUGACCUCAAAUCGAGUAGGACUACCCGCUGAACUUAAGCAUAUCAAUAAGCGGAGGAAAAGAAACUAACAAGGAUUCCCCUAGUAACGGCGAGUGAAGAGGGAAGAGCUCAAAUUUUGAAUCUGGCGCCUUUGGCGUCCGAAUUGUAAUCUAGAGAAGUGUUUUCCGUGACGGACCGUGCACAAGUCUCCUGGAAUGGAGCGUCAUAGAGGGUGAGAAUCCCGUAUAUGGCACGGACUGCCGUUGCUCUGUGAUACACUCUCGACGAGUCGAGUUGUUUGGGAAUGCAGCUCUAAAUGGGUGGUAAAUGCCAUCUAAAGCUAAAUAUUGGCGAGAGACCGAUAGCGAACAAGUACCGUGAGGGAAAGGUGAAAAGCACUUUGGAAAGAGAGUGAAACAGUACGUGAAAUUGUUGAAAGGGAAACGCUUGAAGUCAGUCGCGCCGUUCGGGAUUCAGCCUUGCUUCUGCUUGGUUCACUUCCCGUUGGGUGGGUCAACAUCAGUUUUGGUCGGAGGAGAAAGGCUUGGGGAAGGUGGCAGCAUUCGUGCUGUGUUAUAGCCCCUUGUUGUAUACUUCGACUGGGACUGAGGACCGCAGCACGCCUUUGGCCGGGGUUCGCCCACGUACGUGCUUAGGAUGUUGGCAUAAUGGCUUUAAGCGACCCGUCUUGAAACACGGACC
rnacentral:rRNA from 1 species